CUUCCAUAGUUCUUUCAUUGUUCACUCCAAAUGCUUACAACGUAAACACAGUCAUUUAUACCAGGACACAUAGGAGGUGGUCAGUGUUCAUAGCCAACCAUUACACAGACUAUUAUAAGUCCUACAAAAUACCCUUGUAUGGCGUAUUCCAACCUAUGACCCAAGGGUCUAUUCAGAGAGUCCUAUGACAGUCACAUACACAGUUCCUAACAGGUGGUAUGGACAGGUUGUUUGGGACACAUCAGUAAUGGGACAUCACAUUUCCUACCUAGUGUCCUCCAUACAGAGAUAGUUAGUACUCUCAUACAUUGUGUCAAGCUUAAUUCAAUUACUUUCAUGCUCAAUAUCUAUCAGUCCCCCCUUCAAUCAUGUUACAAUUAAUCAUUACAUGUUGAUAAAACUAGCUAAAUAAAAGUACAGUCCAAUUCUUAAUGAACUGAAACGGUCCAAACACUUCUGUAAAAAACAAUAAAGAAAAAUAAUAAAAAGGACUAUCUGGCCUAUGAGGCUUUAUUAUUCCUUAAAUGAAAUGAAAAUAAGAUGCAGUGGACACAGCUUGCCUUGACACAUAGCACUGUAUGGCACUGCAAUCGUAGUGACCAUCGUGAUCAAUCUUUACCAUAAACAUAAAGUCCCAGGCUACUAUCAGUCUAACCUGUGUCCAACAGAAACAGACCUAACAUGACAGAUUAAUGAAAUGCAUAGUUAAUUCCCUUUAAGCCCUUUAAACAAUCAACACUCAACUCCAAUGAAUGUACUAGUGACAGUUUCUACCUUUGAAAAGGAAUAUGGCACUAAUAAACAUAUCAGGAUAGCUGUUGUAAUCAUGACUAUGAAGCAACUUCACAAAAAGACAAGUAUCAAUGACCGAUAUUUGGGUAGUGAUCAUAUGUAGGUCCAUCUGCCUUGUGAGGACUUAACAUAUAUACAUAAGAGAUCAAAAUACCAGUCACUUUAGGAAAAUUAUUGAUUGUUAGGAAUGACCCUAGAUUCUCAUCAAAUGUCCGGUAGUUCUAGUCUUCAGUCUUCUCUGUCUUGCAUCAGUGAUGAAAGUUCCAAAAUCAGUUAUUGCAGUCAGUGUGAUGUGGACCCAGCAAAUUGCCUGGUUGUCCUAACAAGUCAGUUUAGGUGUGUAGUGGAAUAGUGAGUUUCCAAAACUUCACUAUUUCAAGAUUAACACCACAACAGUGUCUUCCACUGUGAUGGGACCAUGUGACCUUUCCAGUCAACUGGCCCGUGGUACUCUGACCUGUAGUAUGUGGAGUCUUUUCAUGGAUUCUCCUCUCAUCUUGCUGUCGAUGAUUCAUCUGGAAAUGAAAUGUGAAGCCAAGUGAUCUGACCCUGGCAUCGUUCUGCCAUGUGAGUGGUCAGGAGGAUUUGGAACAGAUGUGACCCAUGUGGUUGUGGUUGAAAUCCUUCUUGAACAUGUUGCUGAUACUCACACACUCAGUUGUCUGUGUCCAGUUAGUGACGUGAUGUAUCAUCAGAAAAGGGGUUGUGAUGUCCUGAUCUGUUGAACGUAUAACUACAAAACAACGAUUAGUGUGGUUCAACAGCCACUCUUUCAUCCACUGGGUAUGGUUCCGUCAACUCCCAACAAUGAAGACAAUAGAUCAGUCCUGGAAACUUGUGGAUCUCAGAAGUUCCAUCAUCAGAGUGAAGCAUACACCCUAUUCAGACAGGUUUCCAUAAAGGUCUAUGUCAAAUUACCCUUUCCAUCCAGAACUGGCUUGGUUGUUUUAUGACUCCUUGUGCUAUAUUAAUGCCCGAUAGCAGCUAGCAGUGGAAUAAAAUUGUCAGACUUGACUUUGCUUAGCCAAAUCAGAAAUGGUUACAUCUAUGCUAUUCCAGCAUUAAAACAAUUAAAACAAAUCCUAAGAAUAGAAUAUGUUAAACAUAGCAGAAUCCAAUGCACCAUUAUAACUAUGCAAACAGAAAAAAACAAACUAAAUGUUCAUGUAACUCCUUUUAAGUACCAAUUGGAUUUGUUUUGAGCCCUAAGCUCAACUCUUUCCAAUCAUAAUCAAUGAUCAUAUCAUACAUCCCCCCUGCUUUCACUUCAUUAAGUCAACGGAAAGCGACACCAUGAGUGAAAGCAGAAUCAUGGCGUAUAUGGCCACAGGAGGCGCCAUCCAGAGCCCACACUGGCCAUCAUUUUGGGAUGGACAUGUAAAAAUAGAGAAUUGGUAACAGGGAUGGAUCUAGAAUCCAUUCAAUAUGGAGUUGCAUACUAUAUAUUCAUAAAAAACAACAAAGUGAAAAUGUUAAAAACACAAACAUUCACUAACAUAAUCAAAGACAUCAAUCUUGUGCGAAGGAAUCAUAAACCAUAUAACCCAGUGACACCUUUGUCUUACAGAGCUAAACAGCUCUCAUAUUCUUUAAAUGGCUAUCAUGAAUUUAGAAUACCCUGAAGUUUCUUGGCACAUGCCUAACUAAAUUGGUUUGCCCACUAGGGGAUAAGCUGAGCACCUAAGUUGUAGGAGAAAAAACUCCAGCCCAUGUUCCAGUGGUAUACAUACUGCAACCACCAGGGCGAUUGUAUUAGCAUAUCUACAGCACCCAAAUUUAGCAUUUUUCAAAGGCAACGACCAAACUAUCUUGUGACAAACAAUGUCUUGAUUAACCUUCUGCAUUUAAGUAAAAUUCUCCAACUUUUAUUCAUUUUUAUUCCAAAUAGUGGCAUUCAGCCAAACACUAAAUCACAACUUAUAUUUGACCACGUCUGUGGUUCUAUUGACAUUAAAAUUACUCUAUCAUCAACAAUGGAGGAUGACUUUUGGUCAAAAGUCAUGCAUUUCAAUGUUAAAGCUAUUGGGUAGAAAAUGUCUCUAACCUCUACUCAGUGUUUGAUCAUCCCAAAACUGAAUUUGCUUACGUUGAGGAAAUUACCACAGUUGAGACCAGUCUGAACACUCAACUUUAAUCCUUAGAAAUAGGCUACCCUGAUUUAAUGGGAGAGGUUGUUUGGGGUCAUCCUAGGGGUCUGCCCCCCUUCCUGGAGCCCUUGGCUUCACCCACUCAUGGCAAGCCAUAAAUAAAUGUCAAAUGGAUUAUUUAAAAUGUAUAUGAAAUUUAGGUUUCCACAUAUAAAAAAUCCAUACAUGGUCCUCAGACUGUCUGUAGCAACAUAUGUUAUUCUUUCAAAUUAGCCGAUAUCCUUUGUUAAGUUUUGUUCGCAGUUAGUAAAAAUAUGCUUGUCAUAUCUAUACAAUAACUUAACAAUCUGGUGGAUAUUCCAAAACAUUGGUGAAAAUUAUGACUAAACCAAAAACAGACAUGACCACCCAAGUAAGCCUAUGUUACUCUUGCUAUCCCAGGGUGUGGGGGUGUGUGGGGGUGUUGGCUCAAGCACUCCUCCCCCCUGUGCUGCUAGCUGAACCAAGGGACCAUUUUAGUCAGUCAAAUUUUUAGUAUCUAACUUGCUCUAUAAACACAAAUGUCAUCUUAGUUGUAAGAGAAACACAAAAAACUAACAAAUUAAAAUGUUCCUAAUUAACCAAAGCCAAUUCAACAUUCAAAAUAAAAUAUAAAAUUUU
ensembl:lncRNA